GACGAACGCUGGCGGCGUGCUUAACACAUACAAGUCGAACGGAAAGGCCCUGCUUUUGUGGGGUGCUCGAGUGGCGAACGGGUGAGUAACACGUGAGUAACCUGCCCUUGACUUUGGGAUAACUUCAGGAAACUGGGGCUAAUACCGGAUAGGAGCUCCUGCUGCAUGGUGGGGGUUGGAAAGUUUCGGCGGUUGGGGAUGGACUCGCGGCUUAUCAGCUUGUUGGUGGGGUAGUGGCUUACCAAGGCUUUGACGGGUAGCCGGCCUGAGAGGGUGACCGGCCACAUUGGGACUGAGAUACGGCCCAGACUCCUACGGGAGGCAGCAGUGGGGAAUAUUGCACAAUGGGCGGAAGCCUGAUGCAGCAACGCCGCGUGCGGGAUGACGGCCUCCGGGUUGUAAACCGCUUUCGCCUGUGACGAAGCGUGAGUGACGGUAAUGGGUAAAGAAGCACCGGCUAACUACGUG
rnacentral:rRNA from 1 species